AUGUCUGGCAGUUCCCUACUCUCGCAUGGGGAGACCCCACACUACCAUCGGCGCUACGGCGUUUCACUUCUGAGUUCGGCAUGGGGUCAGGUGGGACCACCGUGCUACUGCCGCCAGACA
rnacentral:rRNA from 1 species